rnacentral:rRNA from 1 species
AGGUAGGGAUACCCGCUGAACUUAAGCAUAUCAAUAAGCGGAGGAAAAGAAACCAACAGGGAUUGCCUUAGUAACGGCGAGUGAAGCGGCAAAAGCUCAAAUUUGAAAUCUGACACCUUUGGUGUUCGAGUUGUAAUUUGGAGAGGCAUCUUCUGGAGGGGCCCAGCCUAUGUGCCUUGGAACAGGACGUCAUAGAGGGUGAGAAUCCCGUACUUGACUGGAUGUUCCCUCCUGUAUGUAGUGUCUUCUACGAGUCGAGUUGUUUGGGAAUGCAGCUCAAAAUGGGUGGUAAAUUUCAUCUAAAGCUAAAUAUUGGCGAGAGACCGAUAGCGCACAAGUAGAGUGAUCGAAAGAUGAAAAGCACUUUGAAAAUAGAGUCAAACAGUACGUGAAAUUGUUGAAGGGGAAGCGCUUGGGACCUAUCCUGGCCAUUGACGUUCAUCCACGCCCUCCGGGGGGCAUUGCACUCGUCUUUGGGCCGGGCCAGCAUGGGUUGGGACGGUGGGAUAAAGGCUGGGGAAAUGUGACUCCUUUAUGGAGUGUUAUAGUCCCCGGUGGCAUGCCAUCAGUCCCGACCGAGGAUCGCGCACCGGCACGGAUGCUGGGUAAAGGUCUUCAGCGACCCGUCUUGAAACACGGACCAAGGAGUCUAACGUCUAUGCGAGUGUUUGGGCUUCAAACCCUCACGCGUAAUGAAAGUGAACGGAGGUGGGAACCCCGAAAGGGGCGCACCAUCGACCGAUCCUGAUGUCUUCGGAUGGAUUUGAGUAGGAGCAUAGCUGUUGGGACCCGAAAGAUGGUGAACUAUGCCUGAAUAGGGUGAAGCCAGAGGAAACUCUGGUGGAGGCUCGCAGCGGUUCUG